UACGGGGGGGGCAAGCGUUGUUCGGAAUUACUGGCGUAAAGGGCUCGUAGGUGCCACUAAGUCAGACGUGAAAUCCCUCGGCUUAACCGGGGAACUGCGUCUGAUACUGGAUGGCUUGAGUUUGGGAGAGGACGCGGAAUUCCAGGUGUAGCGGUGAAAUGCGUAGAUAUCUGGAGGAACACCGGUGGCGAAAGGCGGCGACCUGG
rnacentral:rRNA from 1 species